GGAAGAAGAUCACUCUUCAGGAUGUUGCUGAAUCAAAUGGAGAAAACGACGAACAAGUCCAAACUUGUCAAGUGCUUCAGUAACUGGAAUGUGUGAGCUCCGUUUCACACCCAUUGAUGAGUCAGAAGUAGACUCAGAAAAAAAAAGAAAGAAAGAAAAAAGUGGUAGCCCAGAAGUUUUCAUUUAAUGCUGCAUGUACUUUUUUUUAAAGAAGCCAUGGAGGAUUUUCUGAAUCAAAGGGAGACUGAAAUGUUGGUUAAAAAUGCUGUACAGUAGAAAAUUGACAGAACACUGUAAACCAGCUAUGACUGAAAAAAUAAAAAUCAUUUAAAAAAUGAAAUUAAAGGCUUC
rnacentral:lncRNA from 1 species